rnacentral:tRNA from 1 species
GGGCAUGUAGCAUAGCAGGUUAAUGCGCUGGCCUUGUAAGCCGGAAAUCAGGGGUUCAAAUCCCCUUAUGCCCU